AGCGACUGCAAACCGGUGCAUUCACCAAACCCCUCUCCGCACACUUAACCACCCACACCCGCACGCCCUAAGUGCCACCCGCCAUCACCUUCUUUCCUUCCUCUCCCUUCCGCACACAGCACAACCCAACACGUAGGAACGCUCAAGGUGUUAAUACUGCGCUCCUCCUCGCACGUGUCUGUAUCUGUAACCUUGUGCGUGUAUCCGUGCGCUUCCUCUCCAGUCACAGCGCCUCGAAGAUUAUUUGCCUUUCAUAUAUGCGUGUGCGGUGGUUUCGCUGUCGUCAUUGUUGUCUGCGGCUGAUUUCACGGUCGUUGACACACGUCGCUCCUUCUCGUUUUUCUUUUUCCAUGCGACCACGUGAUUGACGGGCUCGAGCUCUACCUCCCUCCCCCCCCCCACACACCUCCUGCCUUUUACACCUGUCCCUCGUGGUGCAUACACGCAUACAAGCCCCCCGACCCGCACCUCUCCCCAUCCCUUUCACUCUCCCUAUGCGGAGUGGCAGGGUCCUUGCCCUUGUCGAGGUUUCUUUCGUUUCGCUUGUGUUGGUUGUUGUGGUGGUGAGGACAUUGGCCAACACAUCGUCGCGAACUUCUGCUGGACGGCCGCCCUCGUCAACUUCCCUGUGGCCUGCUUGCUUACCCUGCACUUCUGCUCCGCUGCUUUCCGCCUCAUACUUCGUCUCGACCAUCGUUUUUCCCUCGUCCAUCCUCCCCCUCCUCCCUCCCCCCUCUGCGCAUCCCUGCUGAUUGCUCGGGCAAG
rnacentral:misc_RNA from 1 species